rfam:Picea glauca, whole genome shotgun sequence.
CCGACCUUAGCUCAGUUGGUAGAGCGGAGGACUAUAGUAGUGGAAAUUCCUUUACAACCAUCCUUAGGUCGUUGGUUCGAAUCCGGCAAGUUGGA